CGCAGCCGCGGUAAUUCCAGCUCCAAUAGCGUAUAUUAAAGUUGUUGCAGUUAAAAAGCUCGUAGUUGAAUUUCGGGGUUAGCAGGUUGGUCGUGCCACUGGUAUGUACUGGCCUCGCUGAUUCCUCCCUCUUGAUGAGCCGUAAUGCCAUUAAUUUGGUGUUGCGGGGAAUCAGGACUGUUACUUUGAAAAAAUUAGAGUGUUUAAAGCAGGCAAGCGCUUGAAUACAUUAGCAUGGAAUAAUGAAAUAGGACGUUCGAUCCUAUUUUGUUGGUUUCUAGGAUUGACGUAAUGAUUAAUAGGGAUAGUUGGGGGCAUUAGUAUUCAAUUGUCAGAGGUGAAAUUCUUGGAUUUAUUGAAGACUAAUUACUGCGAAAGCAUUUGCCAAGGAUGUUUUCAUUAAUCAAGAACGAAAGUUAGGGGAUCGAAGACGAUCAGAUACCGUCGUAGUCUUAACCAUAAACUAUGCCGACUAGGGAUCGGAUGAUGUUAAUUUUUUAAUGUACUCAUUCGGCGUACC
rnacentral:rRNA from 1 species